GCGGGAAUAGCUCAGUGGCUAGAGUGUCUCCUUGCCAAGGAGAAGGUCGCGGGUUCGAGCCCCGUUUCCCGCU
rnacentral:tRNA from 4 species